AUUGAACGCUGGCGGCAGGCCUAACACAUGCAAGUCGAACGAGUGGCGGGCGUGUGAGUUAUGCUUGGGACUCUGGCUUAUGGAGGGGGAUCACGACGGGAAACUGUCGCUAAUACCGCGUACCCUCGUGUGAGCCCAAGUGGGAUGAGGUAGUUGGUGGGGUAACGGCCUACCAAGGCGACGAUCUCUAGCUGGUCUGAGAGGAUGACCAGCCACACCGGAACUGAGACACGGCCCGGACUCCUACGGGAGGCAGCAGUGGGGAAUAUUGCGCAAUGGGGGCAACCUGACGCAGCCAUGCCGCGUGAAUGAAGAAGGCCUUCGGGUUGUAAAGUUCUUUCGGUGACGAGGCGUUAAUCACAGAAGAAGCACCGGCUAACUCCGUGCCAGCAGCCGCGGUAAUAC
rnacentral:rRNA from 1 species